AGAGUCAUGGGCUCGGUAUCAUAGGCCUUAUCGAUUAAAAGAAAUGAAUAAAUGGGUUUCAACCCGUGAACCGGGUCUUCCAAGUGAGCCCGUAUGAUACGGGGUCAUGCCACGCGGCGCAGAGGGAGUGGCUACGCGAUCGCGCGGGUUGACUGCGAAAAAAUGGGUUUCGCGUGAAAGAUCCCAUUUUCCCUUCUCUCUUCGAAAUCUAGGGUUUCUCCGUCUGUGAGGCGAUUUCGUGUCGGGGUCCAGAGCCGGAGAUUUUCUCGAUCAAUUCGUCGUCGGAGUCACUCGUAAACGCUCUCAGGUGAGUCUCAAUCACUCCGAGGACGAGAUAGCUUCGAUUUGAUCUCGAGAGGUUUCUAGGUUAAGGAAGUCGAUUUGGGGGUUUCGUCUUAGGGUGGGAAAUCGAGAAGGGGGUUUCGAUUUCUUGGUCAAAAUCGACAUACGGUUUCUUUUUAGGGUUCGUUUAUCAUGGAUUUCAUUUCGAUUUGGGGGUUUCGUGUAAGGGUUCGAAAUGUAAAAGGGGGUUUUAAUUUAGGACAUGAAUAUAACCGGACUUGGCUCUUUUAGAAUUGUUCUGUGGUCUUGUGUGGUCUAUAGUAGUUUGAUGCGAUUUUUUUAAAUUGGAACUCGAUUAAUACAUGUAAUUGGAACUCGAUUGUUGCAGAUGGAAACUCCCCGAGAACCUCAUUUCUUCAAGCCUCUUCUUCCUGGUUUUCAAAGUGGCGUCGCAAUACCACUUGACUUCUACUCAAAACACAUACAAGGGGCUGAGAUCAAUAAACCAUGGAAGCUAAGAUCGGACGCUUCGGAUCAAAUUUGGGAGGUGAUCCGAGAAGGCAGGACACUCACCAAAGGUUGGAAAGAGUUCACCGAAGCACAUGAUCUUCGAAUCGGUGACAUUGUCAUCUUCAAACACGAAGGAGACAUGGUCUUUCAUGUGACUCCUUUUGGUCCUAGCUGUUGUGAGAUUCUGUGGUCCGACGCGGAUGAUGCUCCUACUUUCUCAUACGACUACUGCUUCUUGGCUGAGGUUACUCCUACAAAUCAAAAGGACGACAAAAUGUUUCUUCCUGUGGAAGCUAUGAGGUGUGGUGCUUUGAACCAACAAUGCAAAGAGGUCAAACUUGUCAACAAGGAGGGAAAGUCAUGGACUGCGCGCUUCGGAUUUAGCGAAUCAGACGGCGCAUAUUACAUCAGCAGAGGGUGGAGAAAGUUUUGUCGUGAUAACAGAUGCACCAACGGAGAUUUGUUUGUGUUCAACGUGGUUGGAGACGGGACGACAACUCCAUUACUGUGUGUAUGUCCGGAAAGGAAGGAGUGUACUGAACUACUGAUCAAGCACUUCAGCAGAAUCGAUGGUAGCAUUGCUUCUACCUCACGAAAUUAGAUGGCUCUUUUGCGGUCUUUCCUCUCUAUCAUCUUAACUUGUUUCUUUUUGUUUCAUUAGCAACUUAUCAACUUAUGUAUUUCGGUUUGUAAAACUUGAAUGGUUUUUCUAUGUGAACUUUUAUCCUAAGUUAAACAUUCUCGAACUUAAUUCCUUUGUUGAAUGCGUAGACUGAUCAUCGAACAAAAUGUUUCUAUGAAUUGAAUUUAAGUUAAGAAACAACAUAAAAUUUUAAAACAUAGCUUUUAUACAUUUGAAAACACAAACCAAAACUUAAACUCCAAAACUAAAACAUAGGUUGAAUAAAAUGUUUUCAUAAAUUUUAUAAUAUAUUUUAAUAUUUUAUUCAUGUAUUCUGAAUAAUUUUAAAUUUAAAAAAAAAAUAAAAAAAAAUAUUAUUAUUUUAUUCCUAUGAACUCCUUCUUCGGAUUCACUGAUGCAGAAAACUACAAAUUCGGGUUCAUAACUGUUCAUGGACCCACAAAAAAAAUAUUAAAAAAAUUUGGUGAACCCCAAAGUGGGGUUCACCAAUGCUCAUGCUCUAACCAAACUAGAGUUUCAUUGUUCAACUACACACAAAAGACACACACACACACUAUCUCACACGUGUGUGUGAAUUUUACCCUAAUCCGCCAAAAACUCAAACAUCUUCACAUUAGUUCAAUUCUAGAUCCCCGACUCAUCUUUAUUUUCUCUCACACAAUUGUUCUUCCCUUUCAAUCAAAUCUACAACCACCUCAACCCUCUCUCCUAUAACUCCAAUAUAGUUUCCCAAAUCUUCAUAUCCUAAUCCCUUCCCUUCUUUUUUUUUGUUCAAAUAUUAUUUCCUUCUAAUCCAUCUUAUUUUGUUAGCUUUGUUAGAAAAAAAAAAAACUAAGAGAAGAAGACCAUCUCAAUCUAUCACCACCAACCAUCUCAUAUCACCAAAUUAAAGAAAUUUUCACCUCCGGUGAAACCCGCGGCGGAUGAAACAUGAAAUUAGUGGCGGAGAAGACACGAAAUCCACGGCGGAAGAGACAAUGUCUUAGAGCUGAUCUUGCCUCAAUUCGAAGUCGUCAAACAAAGUUGAUGGAAACCGUGAAAAGCUGGAUCCUUUAUCAUGAUUUUGUUUGUCUCUGCAAUGAUUUGUUCGGAUCUUGCUAGAAACUAACCCGAACCAUACGUAAGGAUCCGAAUGCUUAGGUUAAACGUGUACAAAACCUAAUCUUCAUAACUUGUGUCCACAUGAUAUAUGUCCACAAAUCUGAUAUCCAUAUCCUGUUCGUCGAUAAUUUUUCAUCCAUAUCCACAAUAUUAGUCAUAUGCACAUAAUUCACUCAGCUCAAGCACUAAAACUUUUAAGAAACAAACCAAAUGUCUACUCAUUUUAGUCUAAGACUCAAAUGUGUUACUCUUUUAUCGUCUAUGGUUUGUUUGUCUAUAUUUUCAAUUUUUUCUUGUUGACAUUUCUCUUGUCCACAUCUUUUGCGUCCAUAAGUUUAACUUACAAAUUAUGUUAAAUGUAUAAAAUAGAUGUUAAAAUAUAAAGAAAAAAUUGUAAUUGGUUGUACCGAAAAAAUAAGCUAGAUGUUUAUUAUAAAACCAAAAAUCAAUAAACAAAUACGUGGAUGAAAAAAGUUAUUUAAUAAUAUUAAAAAAUAUGACAUAUAUUCUUGACUACUUCUGUGGGGUCAAGAUAUCCAUGUAUCUAUCUAUAUAUAUAAAGGGGAGUUUUCUCUCACCUCCUGCUGCCACUUCAGCAUGGAAGGAAGGGCAAAUGAGGACACGUGUUAUCACUUUACUUCUUCUUCGAGCAAGUUAAAAGAAAUGUGGACAAAUUUGUUUAGUUAAGAUGCUGAGGCCUAAUUCCAAAAUUUGAUAAUCAAGCCCAAUUGUUCACAUCCAUCUUCUUCGAAAGUCUUCGUCUGUCUGUUCAUAUCCCUAUGUCCAGCCGGCAACAACCUUACCGAAUUAUAACGUUUUUUGUGUCAUUGAAACCUGCUCACGAAGUCUGGCCAUUACCUCUCUCCUUGAAGCGUUCUCCCGAAAUCCCUAAUUUUGACUGCUAUAAAUAGGGAUGCAGGUAGAUCGAACUUUCCCUGCUUCACGCAGCGAUCAAUGGCUUUCAGAACUACAAAAUCCUCCGGCCAAUGAAUUAACCAGGGUUUGCUGCUUCUAAUCGCGUAGACAGUUGGUGCAGAAAUCGAAGUUUUUGUAUACUUUGAAACAAGGAGUUAAAUCAGAUCUGGGGAUGAACCAUUAUCUGCAACUUUAUAAAAAGAUUUUGAAUUGUUUCUGGGUCUAUCUGUAUCAGGAAGUAUAUAGAAUCCGAUGGAGUUGUUGAUUCUCUCACCAGAGAUUUAAAAUGUUGCCUCUGUAAAAUUUUGGACUCAUACUCUAUGAUGCUUUGGUUUUUGCCAAUCCCAGCUCUUGAGUGGUUUUUCUAUGAUCCUUCUUUGGGUUUGCUUCAGACUAAUUCAGCAUAAGCUAGGAGGUGCUUCAGUCUCUGACUACGAGAAGCUUCAAGCUUAGACGUUUGAUCUUCAAAUAAAAUACAAUGAGCUUUUAGCUAAUCAUCAGGAAACCCUCAAAGAGUUUUUUCAUCAUCAAUCAGCAGAGGAUCGCUAGAGGCGAGGAGCUAAGUCCUCUCUCCCGAGUUUUUAUCGCCUUCCACCGCUUCUCCCCGCAUCAUAGACCAUUAUCGUCGGCCGUUCAAUGCCACGGCGGUGAAGAAGGUUAAUAGUUGGGAAGACGGAUAUGGAUGAGUUUGGUAUGGGAAGCCCAACUGAAGCUUUCGUCCUUUCAGGGACUUGACACGUGUAGCGGGAAGUUUCAUCAGGAGGAUCAGCAGCAGCUGUUGCAGAAAUAUAAUGUAUAGUGUCUCAUGGUAGUGAUACUGGUGGGAGUGUGAGACAGCUAGCUUCGCUUUGUGGUGUUGUGGUCUUAAGCCAACUUACGGUCGUGUCUCUAAGUUUGGACUAAUGGCCUAUGCAUCUUCAUUGGUUGCUUUGGCUCUACGUUUGCUGAUGUUGGGAUGCUUCUUCAUGCUCUCUCCGGGUAUGAGAGGUUUGAAUCCACGAGUAGCAAACAGUUUGAAGGGAGUGAAAGUUGGUCCAUCCGCGAGACGCUUGAAGAUGGUGUUAAUUUUGGAGUGAGAUUUGCCAACUUAGAAGCAUUGGGAUGUGUACUGACAGAGGUCUUCUUUCCGUCAUUCUCUUGUGGACUACCAGCCUAAUAUGUGGUGCAUGAUGAGUAUAUCAAUGUGGACACAGUUUUGGUGUAGAGGCAGAAGUGAGGAUGGUGCAGCUGAAAAGAGUUCUUAGUGAGCAUCUUCGCUAAAUAAUCUGAUGAUCUGAUCUCAUUUUGCUGGCUUUUGACUGAUGUCAUAAUUUUCCCGUUCUUUUCUUCUUCCAACACUCUUAUUAUUAUGCGAACGAUCCCAACCCAAGGAUGUUGCAGCCUCUAUGUCUUCCCUCGAGAACCUUAUUACGGUAAUCAUUACUUUAUGUUAGGAACAAAGUUUCUAAAGAACAUGAACACACGGUGAUUUGGUUACUGUUAUUAUCCAAGCGUAGCUUACUGAGAAUAACAAAUUUCAUGUAAGGCUCCAAAGUCAAAAUAGUCCAUGUCAUCUGAAACAAAAAGAAAGAUGGAAGAUGUUACUUCUAAUGCGUUAGUUCUUUUGUUUUCUAA